GCGCGACGCGGGCGCAAUGGCGGGGACUCGGGGCUUGAUGCUGCUUGGGCCUGGCCCAGUGGCGGGUCCUAGGACGUGGGUACCUGCAGAGGCCAGCAGAUGGAGAUUCAGAAACAUAAGGACAACAAGAAACUUCCCCAAGGUAUCAUUACAGUCUUUAGACUUCAGACACACACCACACCUCAAAUGUAUACACAACUGAAAUGAAAAUUCAGGAAGUUUUUCAAAGAACCCUAUUCCGAGUAAGAAGUGUGUUGCAUGAAUUUCUAAGGUCAAAGAUGUUGAUUCAUUCAUAGUGUGAGGCCCAGAAAUCUGCAUUUUUAAACAAGUACCCUGGACAUUUCUAAAGCUGGCUAAAGUUUGAGAGACACUAUCCAAGGGAAAUUUCUCCCUAACUCUUUUUCUCAGAAGAAAAGUAAAAUAAAAGUAAAAAUAAGCAGUACCACUAAGUUUCAAGUGAUCUUCUCCUAAAAGAAGAAAAGGCCUAUAUUCAGGCACAAGAAAAGUAUAUUCUCUUUUAUCCAUGCAGAAAACAGCUAGUGGUUGAAAAUCAACACUUCAGACCUCUUGUCUACAUAAAGCCAACUGCCCCUUUGUUUACUGAUGUCUUCAAUGAUUUUACUUAGGUUUUUCUACGACAUUUACUGAGUUAGAUAAGCAGACACAGAUCCAGUCCUUGGAGACUCUCUACUGAAUCAGCACUCUUAGCUUCACUGACAUAGUCUCUUGGUAGACCUGAAGGUGUAUCUUUUCUGGAAAGACUGCACAAAAAGCAUUAUUUAUCUGAACACUGAAUUCUGACUUCCUUGCUAUUUUAGGGAGUCACUUUAAAACAUUUUCAACAUUUGCUAUUUUGUAGCAAGAAAUCCUUCAGAAGGAGGUCAAGUGAUGGCCUUUAUCUGUUCCCAGCGUCUUGCCCUUGGGUCCUCAGGGCACCCCCUGGACAGCAGCCUUAGGAACCAGGUACAAAGCACAAGCACUGCUGGUCCGCAUGGUACAGGAAUCACUUCCAGACUGGGCCUUCCCAUGGGCUUCCCUGAGCUUCCUGGACUCAAAUCAUAGUCCUUCUUUUUCUCUCCCCUUUGGACUUGAUAACCGCAGUCCCAUUCAUUUAAUCUCCAACUUAGAAAUCCAGAGAAUGUGAGUCCUGGGAUUUACUUUCAGACAUCCUCAUCGAUAACCUUGGCCACUUAGGUUGCUGCAGCCUGUCCCCAGGGAGGCAGUUAGACUGGAACAAUGACACAAACAACACCAACAAUAACAACAGCAGCAGAAGCAGAAGCAACAAUAGUAGAACUAGAAAUAAUUUAUAACAUGCUUACUACAUGCCAGGCACUAAGUGCUUACCCAUAUUAACUCAGUUAAUCCUUAUAACAACCAGAUGAGGUAGAUUUUCUUAUUAUCCACAUUUCACAAAUGAGCAAACAGAGGCACAAGCAGGUUAAGAAACCUGCCCAAGGUUAAACAGCGAGGAACAGAGCAAAGAUUUGAACCCUAGGAGUAUUGCUCGGGAGUCCAUGCUGUUACUCAUUUCUUUAUGCUGCCAUAAUCUAAUAUAAAAUUGAAUAACAAUAAAUGCAUCUUAUAUUUGUAUAGCUAUACACAUUAAUUUACAUGAUCUUCAUAAGAACUAUGAAAUGGCUAUGAUUAUCCCCAUUUUUAAAAUGAUACUAUAAAGGCAUAAAAUGCUGUAUUUAUGGUAUGCAACCCUUUGGUGAACAACCCGAUAAAUAUUUAAUUACUUAUAUUGAUGUUCUUCCUACAUCUGAGAAAAAUGUUAUUUCCAUUCCCAAGAUGUUAGUAGAGACAAAGAUUUUUCAAUUUGUCUCCUUGAUUUUGUUGGAUUAUAGCAUUAAAGUUAGUUUUACAAAGCCAUCUACGGUAACCCAGUAGAAAGGGUAAGCCUGUUGGCUUAGGAAAACUGAAUGGCAUUCAGUUUCUUCAAAGAAAUUUGGGACAGAUGUGGGUUUUUACUUCUUCUUCUUCUUCAACAAACCCAGAAGACGAAAAAUGUAUUUUAUUUCCUGUGAAAUGCAUUUUUCUGUUCAUCUCAGUAUGUGGGACUGUUGAAGUUUAUAAGUUUGGCAGUGUUCUAACGUGGCCAUCCUGUUCUCCUUUAGAGACUUAUUAAAUGUAUUUUUUAAAUGAAAACAGAA
rnacentral:antisense_RNA from 1 species